rnacentral:ncRNA from 1 species
CAGAGUAAGCUUGUGUGCGUUUUACCGAAAAGGGCAAAAGCCCGGAGGUAUACAGUGUCGUGGGGACGGGGAGUUGCCGCACGAACGAAAAGAGAAGCUGCGAUACACAGGCUGCAUCCCGCUGC